rnacentral:rRNA from 1 species
AUUGGACGCUGGCGGCAUGCUUUACACAUGCAAGUCGAACGGUAACAGGCCGCAAGGUGCUGACGAGUGGCGAACGGGUGAGUAAUGCAUCGGAACGUGCCCAGUCGUGGGGGAUAACUACUCGAAAGAGUAGCUAAUACCGCAUACGAUCUAUGGAUGAAAGCGGGGGACCGUAAGGCCUCGCGCGAUUGGAGCGGCCGAUGUCAGAUUAGGUAGUUGGUGGGGUAAAGGCUCACCAAGCCAACGAUCUGUAGCUGGUCUGAGAGGACAACCAGCCACACUGGGACUGAGACACGGCCCAGACUCCUACGGGAGGCAGCAGUGGGGAAUUUUGGACAAUGGGCGCAAGCCUGAUCCAGCAAUGCCGCGUGCAGGAAGAAGGCCUUCGGGUUGUAAACUGCUUUUGUACGGAACGAAACGGCUCUGGUUAAUACCCGGGGCUAAUGACGGUACCGUAAGAAUAAGCACCGGCUAACUACGU